rnacentral:rRNA from 1 species
CAAGUCGUGGGGCAGCAGGUCUGUAGCAAUACAGAUGCUGGCGACCGGCAAACGGGUGUGGAACACGUACACAACCUCCCUUCGAGCGGGGAAUAGCCCGGGGAAACCCGGAUUAAUACCCCAUAAAAUAUUGAAUCCGCAUGGGAUUGAUAUUAAAGCUCCGGCACUUGAAGAUGGGUGUGCGCCUGAUUAGGCAGUUGGCGGGGUAACGGCCCACCAAACCUACGAUCAGUAACUGGUGUGAGAGCACGACCAGUCACACGGGCACUGAGACACGGGCCCGACUCCUACGGGAGGCAGCAGUAAGGAAUAUUGGUCAAUGGACGCAAGUCUGAACCAGCCAUGCCGCGUGGAGGAUGAAGGUCCUCUGGAUUGUAAACUUCUUUUAUCUGGGAAGAAAUCCACGAAUUCUUUUGUGGUUGACGGUACCAGAUGAAUAAGCACCGGCUAACUCCGUGCCAGCAGCCGCGGUAAUACGGAGGGUGCAAGCGUUAUCCGGAUUCACUGGGUUUAAAGGGUGCGUAGGUGGGCAGGUAAGUCAGUGGUGAAAUCUCCGAGCUUAACUCGGAAACUGCCAUUGAUACUAUCUGUCUUGAAUACCGUGGAGGUCAGCGGAAUAUGUCAUGUAGCGGUGAAAUGCUUAGAUAUGACAUAGAACACCAAUUGCGAAGGCAGCUGGCUACACGAAUAUUGACACUGAUGCACGAAAGCGUGGGGAUCAAACAGGAUUAGAUACCCUGGUAGUCCACGCCCUAAACGAUGGAUACUCGACAUACGCGAUAUACAGUGUGUGUCUGAGCGAAAGCAUUAAGUAUCCCACCUGGGAA